rnacentral:tRNA from 1 species
AGUAAAGUCAGCUAAAUAAGCU